CCUACGGGUGGCUGCAGUGGGGAAUAUUGCACAAUGGGGGGAACCCUGAUGCAGCGACGCCGCGUGGGUGAAGAAGUAUUUCGGUAUGUAAAGCUCUGUCAGCAGGGAAGAAGGAGACGGUACCUGAUCAAGAAGCCCCGGCUAACUACGUGCCAGCAGCCGCGGUAAUACGUAGGGGGCAAGCGUUAUCCGGAUUUACUGGGUGUAAAGGGAGCGUAGACGGCAGCGCAAGUCUGAAGUGAAAUGCCAGGGCUUAACCACGGAACUGCUUUGGAAACUGUGCAGCUAGAGUGCAGGAGAGGUAAGUGGAAUUCCUAGUGUAGCGGUGAAAUGCGUAGAUAUUAGGAGGAACACCAGUGGCGAAGGCGGCUUACUGGACUGUAACUGACGUUGAGGCUCGAAAGCGUGGGGAGCAAACAGGAUUAGAUACCCCAGUAGUC
rnacentral:rRNA from 1 species